UACAAAACCAGAGACGAGCACGAUUGCUCUCGCUAUUAAAGUGCUUCUUGAUAAAAACUCGAGCUUUUAGUAAGAUCGUGCCAACUUUUACAUACACAUUUGAAUCGCAACAGUGAUUUCACAGAUACAAGUAAUUCGGAGGCGGAUUCCAAAGGAAAAGCGGUGUUUGAGGCUUGAGUUAGCCGUGAAAGUUUGAGACCCCAGUGGUGUAGACUUCGGACCGCGGUGGGAUU